UUACAAGUCUCAUAACUUAAACAAGUAGUUUUGCUCGUAGCUAAACUACCUACAGGAGCUAAGGCAGUAGGAAGCUUCAUCAUUUCAUUAUGUCCUCUAACUUUACUACACAAAUUCAAAGAAGUAAUCGCCUUCUCAUCAAAAGAAUCAUCACUAAGGAUGAACUCUUGGAGAUUCUGGAACUGCUGUUGGCAAAGAACGAGCCAUUGUUGUUGAAGACACUUCUGAAAUACCAAAUAAUUUAUGAGCCAGUUCAUCAGUCAAGUCUGUAAAAUAGGAAGACAAUUAAAAUGUUAGCACAAUUUUAAAAUUUCAA